rnacentral:misc_RNA from 1 species
AAGCCAUAUUGGCCACACGGAGUCUCAUCCAGCUUGAUAAGAGAGCACGGGAAGCUGCAAAGGUGUCAGCGACAGCAGCUGUUAAUUCCUCUUCCAAUGCUAACACACCAAGUAAAGCUAAGAAACCAGAAAUUUUUUUGGUGUCAAAGUGAGGGAUUUGCUUGGAAGGUAAUGGAUAUGCUAUGGCCAAUUUCAAUUAGUUGUAUCUAAGAUUAUGCUGUAUCAGAUAUGCAAAUUGGUCACUUGUACUAUUGCAUUAUAGCUUUUCCUGCAAUAUUGUCAGCGUUCGUGAGUUAACUUUUUUUUUUUGGUUGAUUUCGUUGGAUUUGCUUACUAAUAGGAUUUGAUUUAUCUUUUGAGUUGAAAAAAAAAAAAAAAAAGUUAAC